rnacentral:rRNA from 1 species
GACAGAGGGUGCAAGCGUUGUUCGGAAUCAUUGGGCGUAAAGGGCGCGUAGGCGGUUUUGUAAGUCGAAUGUGAAAGCCCAGGGCUUAACCUGGGAAUUGCGCUUGAUACUCUGAGACUGGAGUACGGGAGAGGAGAGUGGAAUUCCCAGUGUAGAGGUGAAAUUCGUAGAUAUUGGGAAGAACACCAGUGGCGAAGGCGGCUCUCUGGUACGUGACUGACGCUGAGACGCGAAAGCGUGGGGAGCAAACAGG